rnacentral:rRNA from 1 species
GAUGAACGCUGGCGGCGUGCCUAAUACAUGCAAGUCGAGCGAACAGACGAGGGGCUUGCUCCUCUGACGUUAGCGGCGGACGGGUGAGUAACACGUGGAUAACCUACCUAUAAGACUGGGAUAACUUCGGGAAACCGGAGCUAAUACCGGAUAAUAUAUUGAACCGCAUGGUUCAAUAGUGAAAGACGGUUUUGCUGUCACUUAUAGAUGGAUCCGCGCCGCAUUAGCUAGUUGGUAAGGUAACGGCUUACCAAGGCGACGAUGCGUAGCCGACCUGAGAGGGUGAUCGGCCACACUGGAACUGAGACACGGUCCAGACUCCUACGGGAGGCAGCAGUAGGGAAUCUUCCGCAAUGGGCGAAAGCCUGACGGAGCAACGCCGCGUGAGUGAUGAAGGUCUUCGGAUCGUAAAACUCUGUUAUUAGGGAAGAACAAAUGUGUAAGUAACUAUGCACGUCUUGAUGGUACCUAAUCAGAAAGCCACGGCUAACUACGUG